rnacentral:rRNA from 1 species
UACGGAGGGUGCAAACGUUGCUCGGAAUCAUUGGGCGUAAAGCGCACGUAGGCGGCUCGUUAAGUCGGAUGUGAAAGCCCUGGGCUCAACCCAGGAAGUGCAUACGAAACUGGCGAGCUUGAGUAUGGAAGAGGGUCGCGGAAUUCCCGGUGUAGAGGUGAAAUUCGUAGAUAUCGGGAGGAACACCAGUGGCGAAGGCGGCGACCUGGGCCAAUACUGACGCUGAGGUGCGAAAGCGUGGGGAGCAAACGGG